rnacentral:lncRNA from 1 species
AUUUGAGGAAAGUGGGGGGACAGGCAGAAAAAUGUUCUGAGUCUCAGCAGACAGCUCAGAUGAGAGUGUGCAAGGAGGGCAGCUGGUCCUCUCUGGGGAUGGUGGGAGGCUGCCAGUGCGCAGGGUGGAGGGCCUGCCUUGAAGGAAUUCUUUGCUAAAUCUGUGUGUGAGUGUGUGCGGCCAUGCUCUUGCUGGGCGGUUUCUACAGAGGGGCUUGUGGCAGAGCUCCUGCCUGUUGCCCCUCUGCCCCCUCUCCCCCUGAGAGUUCCUUUGUUGGUCACUUGCAUGCGGUUGUGGAGGGUGUCGUCCUCUCCUCCCCACCUCUGAAGUGAGAUGCGUAUGAUUCCUUUCUGUUCCGGGAGUGCCUGACUGCUUGGGCAAAUGGACUCAGAGAAGGGACCAGCGGGGGCAUUAGGGGAGCUGGCUCCCAGGGUGACAGUGGGGUGACCCAGGCCAUCAUCUCCCAAGUCCCUCCUUAGGCAGAGGGUUUUUAAUAGAAGAGUGUAAAGCAAGGGUGUUGGCUUGGAAGAUCCUCACGCCUGGGGCCCAGGCAGAUCUGAUGCCUCUGUUCUCUGCUUAUACUUUGUGUCUGUAUCCGGUCAUUAUUCACCUGCCCAUCUCUUUGCAGGCUUUGUGUUCUUCCCCGGGUGGGAGGCCAGGAUCCACACCCACCCUCAUCCGGUCCCGAACUGUCUGGCCAGCUCACUAUGGAUGUGAAGCAAGAGGAGUGAGGCUGGGAUCUCCGGCAGUGCUUAUUUUAAAAUGGGAAAAAAUAAAAAUCUGAACGAAGAAAAAGCCAUCCAUCAUCCCGCUACCUGAAAACACGAUGUUUUUGGACAGCUAUUUAUUGAGCACCUAUUGUGC